ACCCUUCUUUUCCACCAUAAAAUUCCUUUACAUAGGUACUUUGAGUUGGUAUAAAAACUCCAGCAUCGAAUCGAAAAACUUAAUUGUGUAGUUUGCUGUUUUUCAAGUAUAACCUACUCAAGUUUAACUUGUCGUUUCUGACUUUGAUCAAUUAUCUUUUACCUUAUACACCUGAAAAUGGCUGAUUGUGUCAAAGAUAAACCAUCCGACGCUGAAAUUGAAGCAGUCAAAGAAUCCGUUCAACAAUCUUGCAAGGGAUUGAAAGUCGGCGAGCAGCAAGAGGUGCCAGGCCAUCCCGAAUAUUCUGUCACUAAACGUGAAGAUGGAGAAGUGGAAAUUUCCAAAAAAGGAUGGAGAAUUGGUUUCUCCUUCGGAUGGUGAUCAAUAACCAAUCGCCACGCUCAAUGACACAAAACGUGAUAUCUCUGAUUAGAUUUUUUAUAGGUACGAGUACUUAGUUUAAUAGGUAUUAAUUUGCCAAACCUAUCUUAUUCUCGAACCAUUCAAUCAACGUAAUUAAUUUUCUCUUAUUUAUAUCUAUGUAUUGAUUCGAUGUUUAUUUUAUUCCCCAAAUCAAACAUCAAUUCGUAUAAAAACUUUUCCCAUAGAGGUGCAUUUUGGUCCAACGUUAGUUUGUAAAACGUAUUCAAUUCUAGGUUGGUACCUACCUAUUUAGGAUUACCUACCAAUAAAGCGCUAAUCAGUAUGAUUAUAUAUUUUUAUUUUUUCGCUAUUCGAAUCUUAGACUGUUGAAAAUCUUCAUCAAGUAAAAAUCCAAUACCGAUCACCCAAUGAUAAUCGAAAUUGGGGGCAUGUUUGCCUGGUUGACCUCUCAAGGUCACUGACCUCCAUCGCGUGACACUUUUUCAAAACUACAUAAAAUCAUAACCAAGUUUUGGACUGACAGAACUUAUAAAAAAAUCAGAAUUUCUAAAAAUAAGUACAAUCCUAUCACGGUCGUUUGAAAAAUACAUCUGUAAAACUGAAAAAAAAACCAGGGAAAAUAAUUUCCUAUAAAAAUAAAAAUAGAACAUCCAGCUUAUAGGCUGAAGAAUCUCAACUGUAGUAACCAUUUAUGGAAUUUUUUUUCUGCCUUAUUUUUCCACGUCACAUUUUAGUCAAACGAAACGAACCGAUGAAUAAAAAUUUUUUCUGGGAAAUCAAUGAUGAUGCUCGUUCAAAGUAGCUAUUCGCAUGUUACAUCUCAUUCUAUACGUUAUCUAUUUUCUGCAAACUCCGUUCACACAUUUCCUGAUUCCUGCGUUAUCAGAAACAUAUUUUUCAUCUUUAUCGUGGUAUUUCGAGCCUCCUUCCCCACCAUGAAAUUCCUACACCUACUUCGAAUUCGUAUAAAAACUCCAGCAUCGAAUCGAGAAAUUUAAUUGUGUAGUUUGUUGUUUUGCAAUCGUUAUUCUUCAAGUUCAACUGGUCGUUUUGGACUUUGAUCAAUCAUCCUUCAUUGAGAUAUUUACCAACUACACCUGAAAAUGCCUGACAUGGACAACGUUGAAAUUGACGAAAUAAAAGACGCCGUCAAGCAAUCCGUCAAAGCGAUGAAAGUUGGCGAGAGCCAAAGCGUUCCAGGAUACGAUGGCUAUACCGUUACCAGAAUCGAUGAAAAUAAUGUGGAAGUCACGAAAAAAGCUUGUCAAGGGGAUGAUGAUUCGGAAAUUUCGAAGAAAGGAGUUCACGUCAGCUUUGGAUUAUUCUCUAUAAGUUGGGAUUGAUUUUUAUACCCAUAAAUUAAGUAAUCUGAAGCGUAUAAUUUUGCCAAACUUAUUCGACGAUUACCUACUUAUUCUAUAAAUUACAUUAUGUUCAAUGUAAUGUUUGUUUGUCAAAACUUAUUCUGUUCUACUGCAAUAAAAUCUUAUCAGAUGAUA